UGCAAGCUUAUGAUAACUAUUUCUUAUAAUCUAAGCAAUCAUUAUUAUUAGUUUUAUAAAAUUCAUUCACUAAAUUUUAUUAUAAGCUAUAGUUUUUGAGAGAAAAAUAUGUCUCUGCCUAAGGGUUUUAUAGCUUUUAGUCUGCUCUUAAUUAUGAUUGUUCAUCAAUGCUCAGGAAGAGUAGAUGCCAGAGUUUUAACACUAAAUAAAGAUACAGGAAAUGCAAAGAAAAUGUUCGGCAGCCUAGGACUGGUAUGCAAAUGCUGUGAUGGUGGUAAUGGUGAAUGCAGAAGCUCAUGGGAGUCUUCAUGUCCGAAGCUCCAUUGCCUUCCAUGGAGAUCCUACUAAUUAUAGUAUAUAUUUUGUGUUCUUCACUUGUAUAUUGCAUAUGGAUUAAUUAACUAUAUAAUGGUUAAUUAAUAGUAUGAAUUAUAAACUAUUUUUCACUUCCACAUAUACAUUUAUGGGUGGAACUAUAUAUUGUAGGGCUUAAUACAUAGUUUGACCCCUGAACUUGUACCCUUUUACCUAUCUAACCUCUAAAAUUAACGUCUCACCUAUCGAACCUCUGAACUUGUUAAAUAAUCCGAUUUGACCCAUGAACUUGAUAAAUAUGUAAAUAUUGAACCCUUCGUGUCCACCUGUCACUUGAAACAUUCUAGAAGAAAUUGUGUACGGAGGGGUUCAAUGUUUACAUAUUUAUCAAGUUCGGGGGUCAAAUCGGGUUAUUUAACAAAUUCAGGGGUUCAAUAGGUGAGACGUUAAGUUUGGGAGUUAGAUGGGUAAAAGGGUACAAGUUCAGGGGUCAAACUAUAUAUUAAGCCUAUAUUGUAGUGUCAUCUUGUUUUAUAAUAAGGUUAAUACUCCCCCUAUUUUUAAAUAUAUUAAUUACAUUUUUAAUAUUUAUGUCUUACUUCAAAACGUAAUACAUGUGUAUUAAUUA